CUGCCCAUCUCGUGCAUCUGCCCGUGCUGCCUGUGCGUGACGCUGCUGCUGGAGGCGGCGGUGGAGCUCGUCAAGGCGCCGCUCCACGUCAUGACGUGGUUCACCUCCAAGAUACCCUGCUGA
rnacentral:rRNA from 1 species